UCCUGGGGCUGGAGAAGGUCCCAAGGGUCCGGCUGUUCGCCGGUUAAAGCGGUACGCGAGCUGGGUUCAGAACGUCGUGAGACAGUUCGGUCCUUAUCCGCCGUGGGCGCAGGAGAUUUGAGGGGUUCGCUUCCUAGUACGAGAGGACCGGAAGCGACCGACCUCUGGUGUUUCUGUUGUCCCGUCAGGGGCAAAGCAGAGUAGCUAUGUCGGGAAUGGAUAAGCGCUGAAAGCAUCUAAGCGCCAAGCCGAUCCCAAGAUGAGAUCUCCCUCCUCGGAGCGAUCCGGGGCUGAAGGCAGCCCGAAGAUUACGGGCUCGAUAGGCCGGAAGUGCAAGCGUCGCGAGGCGUUCAGCUGACCGGUACUAAUUUGCCGUGAGGCUUGAUCUGAAAAACCCGA
rnacentral:rRNA from 1 species